GUGGGGAAUAUUGGGCAAUGGGCGCAAGCCUGACCCAGCAACGCCGCGUGAAGGAAGAAGGCUUUCGGGUUGUAAACUUCUUUUACCAGGGACGAAACAAAUGACGGUACCUGGUGAAUAAGCCACGGCUAACUACGUGCCAGCAGCCGCGGUAAUACGUAGGUGGCGAGCGUUAUCCGGAUUUAUUGGGUGUAAAGGGCGUGUAGGCGGGACAGCAAGUCAGAUGUGAAAACCAGAGGCUCAACCUCUGGCCUUCAUUUGAAACUGUUGUUCUUGAGUGAUGGAGUGGCAGACGGAAUUCCUCGUGUAGCGGUGAAAUGCGUAGAUAUGAGUAGGAACACCAGUGGCGAAGGCGGUCUGCUUGACAUUAACGGACGCUGUGGCGCGAAAGCGUGGGGAGCAAACAGGAUUAGAAACCCUUGUAGUCC
rnacentral:rRNA from 1 species